CCUACGGGCGGCAGCAGUGGGGAAUAUUGCACAAUGGGGGAAACCCUGAUGCAGCGACGCCGCGUGAGUGAAGAAGUAUUUCGGUAUGUAAAGCUCUAUCAGCAGGGAAGAAAUAAAGUCCUUCGGACUUUGGACGGUACCUGACUAAGAAGCCCCGGCUAACUACGUGCCAGCAGCCGCGGUAAUACGUAGGGGGCAAGCGUUAUCCGGAUUUACUGGGUGUAAAGGGAGCGUAGACGGCAGCGCAAGUCUGGAGUGAAAUCCCAUGGCUUAACCAUGGAACUGCUUUGGAAACUGUGCAGCUGGAGUGCAGGAGAGGUAAGCGGAAUUCCUAGUGUAGCGGUGAAAUGCGUAGAGAUCAUACAGAACACCGAUUGCGAAGGCAGCUUACCAAGCUACGUCUGACGUUGAGGCACGAAAGCGUGGGGAGCAAACAGGAUUAGAUACCCUUGUAGUC
rnacentral:rRNA from 1 species